GAGUUUGAUCGUGGCUCAGAUUGAACGCUGGCGGCAUGCCUUACACAUGCAAGUCGAACGGCAGCAUGAUCUAGCUUGCUAGAUUGAUGGCGAGUGGCGAACGGGUGGGUAAUACAUCGGAACGUGCCCUGUAGUGGGGGAUAACUAGUCGAAAGAUUAGCUAAUACCGCAUACGACCUGAGGGUGAAAGUGGGGGACCGCAAGGCCUCAUGCUAUAGGAGCGGCCGAUGUCUGAUUAGCUAGUUGGUGGGGUAAAGGCCCACCAAGGCGACGAUCAGUAGCUGGUCUGAGAGGACGAUCAGCCACACUGGGACUGAGACACGGCCCAGACUCCUACGGGAGGCAGCAGUGGGGAAUUUUGGACAAUGGGCGAAAGCCUGAUCCAGCAAUG
rnacentral:rRNA from 1 species